GCUCCCUUAGGUCAGCGGCGGACGGGUGAGUAACACGUGGGUAACCUGCCUGUAAGACUGGGAUAACUCCGGGAAACCGGGGCUAAUACCGGAUGCUUGAUUGAACCGCAUGGUUCAAUCAUAAAAGGUGGCUUUUAGCUACCACUUNCNGAUGGACCCGCGGCGCAUUAGCUAGUUGGUGAGGUAACGGCUCACCAAGGCGACGAUGCGUAGCCGACCUGAGAGGGUGAUCGGCCACACUGGGACUGAGACACGGCCCAGACUCCUACGGGAGGCAGCAGUAGGGAAUCUUCCGCAAUGGACGAAAGUCUGACGGAGCAACGCCGCGUGAGUGAUGAAGGUUUUCGGAUCGUAAAACUCUGUUGUUACGGAAGAACAAGUACCGUUCGAAUAGGGCGGNACCUUGACGGUACCUAACCAGAAAGCCACGGCUAACUACGUGCCAGCAGCCGCGGUAAUACGUAGGUGGCAAGCGUUGUCCGGAAAUUAUUGGGCGUAAAGCGCGCGCAGGCGGUUUCUUAAGUCUGAUGUGAAAGCCCCCGGCUCAACCGGGGAGGGUCAUUGGAAACUGGGGAACUUGAGUGCAGAAGAGGAGAGUGGAAUUCCACGUGUAGCGGUGAAAUGCGUAGAGAUGUGGAGGAACACCAGUGGCGAAGGCGACUCUCUGGUCUGUAACUGACGCUGAGGCGCGAAAGCGUGGGGAGCGAACAGGAUUAGAUACCCUGGUAGUCCACGCCGUAAACGAUGAGUGCUAAGUGUUAGAGGGUUUCCGCCCUUUAGUGCUGCAGCAAACGCAUUAAGCACUCCGCCUGGGGAGUACGGUCGCAAGACUGAAACUCAAAGGAAUUGACGGGGGCCCGCACAAGCGGUGGAGCAUGUGGUUUAAUUCGAAGCAACGCGAAGAACCUUACCAGGUCUUGACAUCCUCUGACAACCCUAGAGAUAGGGCUUCCCCUUCGGGGGCAGAGUGACAGGUGGUGCAUGGUUGUCGUCAGCUCGUGUCGUGAGAUGUUGGGUUAAGUCCCGCAACGAGCGCAACCCUUGAUCUUAGUUGCCAGCAUUCAGUUGGGCACUCUAAGGUGACUGCCGGUGACAAACCGGAGGAAGGUGGGGAUGACGUCAAAUCAUCAUGCCCCUUAUGACCAGGGCUACACACGUGCUACAAUGGGCAGAACAAAGGGCAGCGAAGCCGCGAGGCUAAGCCAAUCCUACAAAUCUGUUCUCAGUUCAGAUCGCAGUCUGCAACUCGACUGCGUGAAGCUGGAAUCGCUAGUAAUCGCGGAUCAGCACGCCGCGGUGAAUACGUUCCCGGGCCUUGUACACACCGCCCGUCACACCACGAGAGUUUGUAACACCCGAAGUCGGUGA
rnacentral:rRNA from 1 species